UUGUUGAUAUCUGACUUUCUCUCUCUUAUCUCUCUCGAAUCUUUUAGAGAGAGAAAGUUCUCUUCAGAUUAAAAUCGAAAUCUCUUUGAUUUUCAUCUGGUUUUUUGUUGUAAUAUAUUAUCCAGCCUAGUCUGGAUCUUCUCUCUCGUCUAAGUACGAGUUUUGUUUUAGCCGUUUUGGCUAGUUUCUUUUAUUUUGUUUGGUUUUUCCCCUUUUGCAGUAACAAAAUCUCUUCAAGUGAAAGAGACAAACGCCGAGAGUGAAAAUCAGAGGUUCAAAAGAUCAUCAACUGCUCGAUUUCCUUGCAAGAAAGGAACAUUUUUAAAAAUAGGCAACAACAAAAUAAGUUUGUCUUCACACUUGGUUCGUCUUCUACUCCUCUAUAGAGUCCGAGAGAGCCAUCUUCGAUCAGCUUGUAAUUAAUUGUCCUCUCUCUUCCAAUUUUAUCUCUCUCACUCCGUCCUUGAUGAUUCUCAUAUAUGUUGGUUCUAGGGUAUCUCCUCUGAUCAAGUUAUGUGAUGAGAUCUUCACUAAUAUCAUCACAUCUUCAUAUUUUUCUUCAGCGGUGUGAUAUUAUUCCAAUUCCGAUGCGCAUCUUCAUCUUCAUAUCGUUUGUUCCUCUACUCAAUUGUUGUGAAUUCUUCUUCUUCUUCUUCUAGGGUUUGGUUUUCAACAGCUGAUUCAAAAGGAGUUUACGGGUCUGAUGAGGAAUCGGAAUUAAUAGUUUAGUUUACUUGUUACUACUGAACCUUGUUUUGCUUAGCUCUGUUUGUUGCAGAUGAAAGCAUAUGGUGUCUUCAUAGUUUCAAGAUUUCUCUCUAUCUUUGUGUAGUUUGGGGAUAAUUUCUGAAGCUUGUGUCCUUUUGUGCUUCACAAACCUGGAACUACACAUAGAGCACUUUAGAGGAUGAAGAUGAUGGAAUAAAUCCUAAUAUCAACAAAGAAGGAGCCAUACACUUUACACUAAGAUACCUUUUGUAUGGAGAUAUCUCGACAAAGGCAGCUCAUAUGCUCGCCUUUACCUAAGGUAGCUGAUUUCAUCGCAAGGUUUAUUCAAGGUUAUAUUUUUUUUUCUUUUUUCUGUUGAGGUCUUUGUAUAUUCUUGUUUGUAUGUAUGUUUACAUUAAUGUCAUCUUGAACAAGCAAAUAUGUGGCGUAGUCUGACACUCCCACAUGUUCUAUCAGACAAAAUAGUCGUUUAAUAAUCAAACAGAAAAGAUGUUGUUGAUCUAA